CAGUGAAUAUGAACUACGGGAGACUGCCAGAGCAUGUUUUAUUACGUUUUUCAAUAGUAAACAGAAAAAUUUUGGAAUAAAAGUAUACUAAACAGUAAUAAAUUAGUCGUCAAAAAUAAAUGUGACGAUUUAAUACUUACUACAAUUUUAUAAUUAUCUUGAACAAAAUCUUUUUUAUCAGAAAUAAUUGGAGGCUCUAAAUUUGCCAAAACACAACAAAUAUGCAAAAUAUCGUCAAUGCAGUGGAACAAAUGUCGUGGAAUUUUAUGCAAUAUAUGGAAACGUAGACCUCCCUGACUAAUCGAUCUAUUAGAAAAAAUGUUAUUUUGAUGAUUUCUACGUCAUUUAGGAAGUGAGGAAGGACUUUAUCGUGCAUGAACAACAUGUCUUUGCGAAUGUUUAGAGGAAAAUUAUUUUGGAAAAAAUCGGUGACCAUUCAGGUUAUCAAAAAAUAUGUAUUAAUUUAUUACCCACAAGCGAAAUGAACUGAUAGAUAAAUUAUUUAAAAGCCUCCCCUGGACUUGUAACAGUCUCAUCUUGCUAAAAUUUAUUAUGAUGUAAGUACCUCGUUUAAAUAAAAUAUAUUUUUUC